GAUGAACGCUGGCGGCGUGCCUAAUACAUGCAAGUCGAGCGAACAGAUAAGGAGCUUGCUCCUUUGACGUUAGCGGCGGACGGGAGAGUAACACGUGGAUAACCUACCUAUAAGACUGGGAUAACUUCGGGAAACCGGAGCUAAUACCGGAUAACAUAUUGAACCGCAUGGUUCAAUAGUGAAAGGCGGCUUUGCUGUCACUAAUAGAUGGAUCCGCGCCGUAUUAGCUAGUUGGUAAGAUAACGGCUUACCAAGGCAACGAUACGUAGCCGACCUGAGAGGGUGAUCGGCCACACUGGAACUGAGGCACGGUCCAGACUCCUACGGGAGGCAGCAGUAGGGAAUCUUCCGCAAUGGGCGAAAGCCUGACGGAGCAACGCCGCGUGAGUGAUGAAGGUCUUCGGAUCGUAAAACUCUGUUAUCAGGGAAGAACAAAUGUGUAAGUAACUGUGCACAUCUUGACGGUACCUGAUCAGAAAGCCACGGCUAACUACGUGCCAGCAGCCGCCGUAA
rnacentral:rRNA from 1 species